rnacentral:rRNA from 1 species
AAACUGAAGAGUUUGAUCAUGGCUCAGAUUGAACGCUGGCGGUAGGCUUAACACAUGCAAGUCGAGCGGUAACAUUUCUAGCUUGCUAGAAGAUGACGAGCGGCGGACGGGUGAGUAACGCGUAGGAAUCUACCUAAUGGCGGGGGAUAGCCCGGGGAAACCCGGAUUAAUACCGCAUAAGCUCUACGGAGGAAAGCAGGGGAUCUUCGGACCUUGCACCAUUAGAUGAGCCUGCGUGAGAUUAGCUUGUUGGUGAGGUAAAGGCUCACCAAGGCGACGAUCUCUAGCUGGUCUGAGAGGAUGAUCAGCCACACUGGGACUGAGACACGGCCCAGACUCCUACGGGAGGCAGCAGUGGGGAAUAUUGCACAAUGGAGGAAACUCUGAUGCAGCCAUGCCGCGUGUGUGAAGAAGGCUCUAGGGUUGUAAAGCACUUUCAGCGAGGAGGAACGGUUAGUAGUUAAUACCUGCUAGCUUUGACGUUACUCGCAGAAGAAGCACCGGCUAAUUUCGUGCCAGCAGCCGCGGUAAUACGAAAGGUGCAAGCGUUAAUCGGAAUUACUGGGCGUAAAGCGCGCGUAGGCGGAUUAUUAAGUCAGUUGUGAAAGCCCAGGGCUCAACCUUGGAACUGCAAUUGAUACUGGUGAUCUAGAGUACGAUAGAGGAGGGUAGAAUUUCUUGUGUAGCAGUGAAAUGCGUAGAUAUAAGAAGGAAUACCAGUGGCGAAGGCGGCCCUCUGGAUCGAUACUGACGCUGAGGUGCGAAAGCGUGGGGAGCAAACGGGAUUAGAUACCCCGGUAGUCCACGCCGUAAACGAUGUCUACUAGCCGUUGGGGGACUUGAUCCCUUAGUGGCGCAGCUAACGCACUAAGUAGACCGCCUGGGGAGUACGGUCGCAAGAUUAAAACUCAAAUGAAUUGACGGGGGCCCGCACAAGCGGUGGAGCAUGUGGUUUAAUUCGAAGCAACGCGAAGAACCUUACCCGCUCUUGACAUCCACAGAACUUUCUAGAGAUAGAUUGGUGCCUUCGGGAACUGUGAGACAGGUGCUGCAUGGCUGUCGUCAGCUCGUGUUGUGAAAUGUUGGGUUAAGUCCCGUAACGAGCGCAACCCUUGUCCUUAUUUGCCAGCAUUAAUGGUGGGAACUCUAAGGAGACUGCCGGUGACAAACCGGAGGAAGGUGGGGACGACGUCAAGUCAUCAUGGCCCUUACGAGUAGGGCUACACACGUGCUACAAUGGCCGGGACAAACGGUUGCAACCCCGCGAGGGUGCGCUAAUCUGAGAAACCCGGUCGUAGUCCGGAUUGGAGUCUGCAACUCGACUCCAUGAAGUCGGAAUCGCUAGUAAUCGUGAAUCAGAAUGUCACGGUGAAUACGUUCCCGGGCCUUGUACACACCGCCCGUCACACCAUGGGAGUGGAUUGCACCAGAAGUAGCUAGCUUAACCUUCGGGAGGGCGGUUACCACGGUGUGGUUCAUGACUGGGGUGAAGUCGUAACAAGGUAGCCCUAGGGGAACCUGGGGCUGGAUCACCUCCUUA